GAAAUGCGAUAAGUAAUGUGAAUUGCAGAAUUCAGUGAAUCAUCGAAUCUUUGAACGCACCUUGCGCUCCUUGGUAUUCCUUAGAGCAUGCCUGUUUGAGUAUCAUGAAAUCUUCAAAGUAAAUCUUUUGUUAACUCAAUUGGUUUCUACUUUGGUAUUGGAGGUCUUUGCAGCUUCACACCUGCUCCUCUUUGUUCAUUAGCUGGAUCUCAGUGUUAUGCUUGGUUCCACUCGGCGUGAUAAGUUAUCUAUCGCUGAGGAUACUGUAAAAGGUGGCCAAGGUAAAUGCAGAUGAACCGCUUCUAAUAGUCCAUUGACUUGGACAAUACUUUUAUGAUCUGAUCUCAAAUCAGGUAGGACUACCCGCUGAACUUAAGC
rnacentral:misc_RNA from 1 species